GGGUCUCUUCGGUUUCGGGUACAAAUUUUUGUACCCGUGUAGACCUCUAAUGGAAAUAGAAAAUAUUGGUUAUCUAGACAAAUGUGCUCUUAUUUUCAGUAUAUUUUUACAACUCUUUUGUAAUGUCUUCGUUAUCAGAGCCCUUCAAAUUAGAAAAGUGAUGAUGAUCUUGUCAAUGCUGAGAUUUCCAUGCAUCAACAGCCACUACAUCUGGAUCAGGCAGAUCAACAUGCAAUUUGAAGUCGUGUGAUAAAAUACAGAGAUGUGAAGUCGUGUGUCUUUCCAGAUGCCCAAAUCAUUCCCCCUUAAAAGAUGAGCCUGAAGAGGAGAUUUGGGAAGAUGCUGUUUCAUAAGUCGCUUUGCCAGAUCACCUGUGGUCGGGAUGUCUGCUAACAAGAUGCCUUGCUGGUCUGGGCGAGUUUAAAGUCUUACACAGACAGUCCAGAGGUUCUGAAGUCCAUCUUUGAUUUCAUUGAUGCUGUCAUCAUAUAAAGUACAGCAUGAGCCAGAAUGGAUGGGUGGUGGUGGCCAUAAGAAGACUGUCAACUAAAUCAACAACAAAAUUCAUAUUUGCAGUUUUUGUUGAAUAAAGUUUUUCUAUUCAGAUGAAUAAAAUGACUUUUAAACAUGAUUUUGUUUUCAUAUUUUAUUAUUUUAUUCUAUAUUUAGAAUAUUACACUUUUGCACUACUAACUGGAAACCUAACUGUUUGAAAGAAUGUGUUUUUAUCCUUAAAAAAUAUUUUUAACAGCUGCUUUCAUGUUUAUUUGGAAAGGGUAGGCACCUGCCAUCUUAUUUGUCCACAUUUAAACUUUACCUUCUUUAGGUGUUUAGUUUUAUGAAUGGGGUUGUACUGUAAGUUAUGCGCAGCAAGUUAUAUUCAUAUGAUAAUUGCUUUUAAAAUAACACGUUUACAGUAAAUCAUAUAGUGAGUAUUGCAGUGUCAAGUAAAAAUCUAUAUUAAGUGUUAUAAAAACAACAAGGAAAUAGAAGGUUGAAAUUGCGUCAUGAUAUCAACCUUUAUUCACCUAUGUUGAAAGUGUGAC